GGGCGGACGGAAGGACGGGCGGCCAGACGGAAUGACGGGCGGACAGACAUACAGGGGUAGUUGAGGGGGGCAUAGAAAAUAUAGCUUCAAUUACAUCUUUUAUUGCGUCAACUUGUAGCCAGUAACCCUGAUGAUUUCUAUUUUUAAGUUUUUACCAUUUUUGCGUUCAUGUACUUACAAUGUAUUUUUGUCUGAAUUAGUAAUUGUUUU
rnacentral:lncRNA from 1 species